rnacentral:rRNA from 1 species
UUGUUCGCCAAACAACUACGAGUAGUAACUUAAAACUUAAAAGACUUGACGGUACUUCACCACAACCUAGAGGAGCCUGUCUAAUAACCGACAACCCACGAUUAACCCAACCCUAUCUUGCCAACAGUCUAUAUACCACCGUCGCAAGCUCACCUUGUAAAAGAACUAUAGCGAGCUCAAUAGUCCACCACUAACACGACAGGUCGAGGUGUAACUCAUGAAAGGGUCACAGAUGGGCUACACUCUCUUCCUAGAGAACACGAAUAACACCAUGAACAUGGUAUUUGAAGGAGGAUUUAGCAGUAAGAUAGGAAUAAACUACCUAACUGAACAUUUAGCAAUGAAGUGCGCACACACCGCC